rfam:Tupaia chinensis contig32331, whole genome shotgun sequence.
CACUUUGGCAGUACGUGUACAAAUAAAUUUGAGAAGAUGCAGAGAAGAAUAGCAUGGCCCUUGCACAAGGAUGACAUACAAAUUCAUGAAACAUUCUAUAUUUUU